rnacentral:rRNA from 1 species
AUUGAACGCUGGCGGCAUGCCUUACACAUGCAAGUCGAACGGCAGCACGGGAGCAAUCCUGGUGGCGAGUGGCGAACGGGUGAGUAAUGUAUCGGAACGUGCCCAGUCGUGGGGGAUAACGCAGCGAAAGUUGUGCUAAUACCGCAUACGAUCUAUGGAUGAAAGCGGGGGAUCGCAAGACCUCGCGCGAUUGGAGCGGCCGAUAUCAGAUUAGGUAGUUGGUGGGGUAAAGGCUCACCAAGCCGACGAUCUGUAGCUGGUCUGAGAGGACGACCAGCCACACUGGGACUGAGACACGGUCCAGACUCCUACGGGAGGCAGCAGUGGGGAAUUUUGGACAAUGGGCGCAAGCCUGAUCCAGCAAUGCCGCGUGCAGGAUGAAGGCCUUCGGGUUGUAAACUGCUUUUGUACGGAACGAAAAGGCUCUGGAUAAUACCUGGGGCUCAUGACGGUACCGUAAGAAUAAGCACCGGCUAACUACGUGCCAGCAGCCGCAGUAACAC